rnacentral:rRNA from 1 species
AUUGAACGCUGGCGGCAGGCUUAACACAUGCAAGUCGAGCGGGGUGAUGGUGCUUGCACUAUCACUUAGCGGCGGAUGGGUGAGUAAUGCUUAGGAAUCUGCCUAUUAGUGGGGGACAACAUCUCGAAAGGGAUGCUAAUACCGCAUACGUCCUACGGGAGAAAGCAGGGGAUCACUUGUGACCUUGCGCUAAUAGAUGAGCCUAAGUCGGAGUAGCUAGUUGGUGGGGUAAAGGCCUACCAAGGCGACGAUCUGUAGCGGGUCUGAGAGGAUGAUCCGCCACACUGGGACUGAGACACGGCCCAGACUCCUACGGGAGGCAGCAGUGGGGAAUAUUGGACAAUGGGGGGAACCCUGAUCCAGCCAUGCCGCGUGUGUGAAGAAGGCCUUAUGGUUGUAAAGCACUUUAAGCGAGGAGGAGGCUCUUUUGGUUAAUACCCAAGAUGAGUGGACGUUACUCGCAGAAUAAGCACCGGCUAACUCUGUGCCAGCCGCCGCCGUAA